AAGGCAAGGAAGUGGUAAGAGAAAAAGAAUAGGAUUACUUUGUUAUCCUAUAAAUUUUGUGAAUUGAUUGUGAUUAAGGAUUGAUGACUCUUGAAUGGAUACUGUGUGAUCGGGAAAGCUGAGCCGGGCGGAUAGCUACCCGAGUAUGUGAGAUGGCAAGACUGAGCCGGGCGGAUAGUCUUGUCAAGUGGUCACUGAAAUUU